rnacentral:rRNA from 1 species
GACGAACCGUGCGAACGUUAUUCGGAAUCACUGGGCUUAAAGCGCGUGUAGGCGGGGUGGCACGUCGGUCGCUGAAAGCCCCCGGCUCAACCGGGGAAGGGGCGCCGAUACGACCACCCUGGAGGGACGUAGGGGGACCUGGAACUUCCGGUGGAGCGGUGAAAUGCGUUGAGAUCGGAAGGAACGCCCGUGGCGAAAGCGAGGUCCUGGGCGUUUACUGACGCUGAGACGCGAAAGCCAGGGGAGCGAACGGG